rnacentral:rRNA from 1 species
UACGGGGGGGGCAAGCGUUGUUCGGAAUUACUGGGCGUAAAGGGCGUGUAGGCGGCCAACUAAGUCCGACGUGAAAUCCCCAGGCUUAACCUGGGAACUGCGUCGGAUACUGGAUGGCUUGAAUCCGGGAGAGGGAUGCGGAAUUCCAGGUGUAGCGGUGAAAUGCGUAGAUAUCUGGAGGAACACCGGUGGCGAAGGCGGCAUCCUAGACCGGCAUUGACGCUAAAGCGCGAAAGCCAGGGGAGCAAACGGG